GUUUGGGUGGUUACAGGGCUGUCUCCUGGUGAGGAGGGGAAGGGCAGCUGAGUAGGACCUGGUGGCCUCAUGGCGAUAGUCUUCUUCCUCCUUGGCAGUCUUGUGCCUCCUUCCUUCCAAUCCAGCCCUCAUUCUUUCCCUCUGCACAGAAAGGAUCAGCAUCUCCGGUACAGCCCCCAUCUGUGCUAGGAGAUGGCCGGGUGGGUGUGGAUGCUAAGACAACCGAUCCCCCUCAUGUUGGCCCGAGGAGGGCCCUGACCUGGAUACUGUGAGACCUUUUGAGGACAGCUGGCUCCUUUGUGGGAUCAGUUGGGUGUGGGGCAGGGCCUUGAUCUGAGCCAGCCCCUAGUUUCCAGCCUAGGUUCUCCUCACCACUGAUGGCCUAAGUGAUGUCUGUCUGUCCUGUGAUGGGGGGUUGCAGUUACCGCAGGAGGCCCUGGAUUAUGGCUCAGAUUCUUAUGGCUCCAUCCUUGCACCUUUCCCUGGCUCAGGUUUCUGUGGGGAGAAGGAGAGUGCCAGAGGUGACUGGUUCGUGGUUCUUCUAGGCUCUCAUGGCCACCAUGUUGGAAGGCAGAUGCCAAACUCAGCCAAGGAGCAGCCCCAGUGGCCGAGAGACUAGCCUGUGGUCGUCAGGCUUUGGGAUGAAGCUGGAGGCUGUCACUCCAUUCCUGGGGAAGUAUCGCCCCUUUGUGGGUCGCUGUUGCCAGACCUGCACCCCCAAGAGCUGGGAGUCCCUCUUCCACAGAAGCAUAAUGGACCUAGGCUUCUGCAAUGUGAUCCUGGUGAAGGAGGAGAACACAAGGUAGUCAGAGCUAUGGACUGGAGCAGGCUUGGGGACAGGGACCCUUGGGUGCAGGGCUGCUGGGGCCCUGCUUUUUGGUGCCAUUUUCUUCCUCUGAUA
rnacentral:lncRNA from 1 species